GGGCCCGUGGCCUAGUCUGGAUAAGGCAUCGGCCUUCUAAGCCGAGAAUCGUGGGUUCAAAUCCCUCCGGGCCCGCCA
rnacentral:tRNA from 1 species